rnacentral:rRNA from 1 species
UGGGGAAUUUUGGACAAUGGGGGAAACCCUGAUCCAGCCAUCCCGCGUGUGCGAUGAAGGCCUUCGGGUUGUAAAGCCCUUUUGGCGGGAAAAAAAGUUCAUGGGUUAUACCCCGGGGAACCUGAGGGUACCGGAGAAAUAACCACGGCCAACCUACGUGCCAGCAGCCGCGGUAAUACGUAGGGUGCAAGCGUUAAUCGGAAUUACUGGGCGUAAAGUGUGCGCAGGCGGUUCGGAAAGAAAGAUGUGAAAUCCCAGAGCUCAACUUUGGAACUGCAUUUUUAACUACCGGGCUAGAGUGUGUCAGAGGGAGGUGGAAUUCCGCGUGUAGCAGUGAAAUGCGUAGAUAUGCGGAGGAACACCGAUGGCGAAGGCAGCCUCCUGGGAUAACACUGACGCUCAUGCACGAAAGCGUGGGGAGCAAACAGG